rnacentral:rRNA from 1 species
UACGGAGGAUGCGAGCGUUAUCCGGAUUUAUUGGGUUUAAAGGGUGCGCAGGUUGUUUGAUAAGUCAGUGGUGAAAGUCUGUCGCUUAACGGUAGGAUUGCCAUUGAUACUGUUAGACUUGAAUAUGGAUGAGGUAGGCGGAAUGUGUAGUGUAGCGGUGAAAUGCAUAGAUAUUACACAGAACACCGAUUGCGAAGGCAGCUUACUAAUCCAUCAUUGACGCUGAGGCACGAAAGCGUGGGGAUCAAACA